UGCCUUAGUAACGGCGAGUGAAGCGGCAAGAGCUCAAAUUUGAAAUCUGGGUCUUUCGGACUCCGAGUUGUAAUUUGAAGAGGUAGCUUCGGUUGCGGCCCCGGUCUAAGUUCCUUGGAACAGGACGUCGUAGAGGGUGAGAAUCCCGUACACGGCUGGGGCUUUUGGCCAUGUGUAGCGCCUUCGAAGAGUCGAGUUGUUUGGGAAUGCAGCUCAAAAUGGGUGGUAAAUUUCAUCUAAAGCUAAAUAUUGGCGAGAGACCGAUAGCGCACAAGUAGAGUGAUCGAAAGAUGAAAAGCACUUUGAAAAGAGAGUUAAACAGUACGUGAAAUUGUUGAAAGGGAAGCGCUUGCAAUCAGACCUGCUUGCGGUUGAUCAACGUUCCUUCUGGGUCGUGCACUCUGCCGUUUGCAGGCCAGCAUCGGUUAGAGCGGUGGGACAAAGGUAGCGGGAAUGUGGCUCCUUUCGGGGAGUGUUAUAGCCCGUUGCGUAAUGCCACCAGCUCUGACCGAGGUCCGCGGUUCGCCUAGGAUGCUGGCUUAAUGAUUGUAAGCGACCCGUCUUGAAACACGGACCAAGGAGUCUAACAUCUAUGCGAGUGUUUGGGUGCAAAACCCAUGCGCGAAAUGAAAGUGAACGGAGGUGGGAGUCUUCGGAUGCACCAUCGACCGAUCCUGAUGUCUUCGGAUGGAUUUGAGUAGGAGCAUAGCUGUUGGGACCCGAAAGAUGGUGAACUAUGCCUG
rnacentral:rRNA from 1 species